rnacentral:rRNA from 1 species
GUAGGUGGCAAGCGUUGUCCGGAAUUAUUGGGCGUAAAGCGCGCGCAGGUGGUUCUUUAAGUCUGAUGUGAAAGCCCCCGGGCUCAACCGGGGAGGGUCAUUGGAAACUGGGGAACUUGAGUGCAGGAGAGGAAAGUGGAAUCCCACGUGUAGCGGUGAAAUGCGUAGAUAUGUGGAGGAACACCAGUGGCGAAGGCGACUUUCUGGCCUGUAACUGACACUGAGGCGCGAAAGCGUGGGGAGCAAACAGGAUUAGAUACCCUGGUAGUCCACGCCGUAAACGAUGAGUGCUAAGUGUUGGGGGGUUUCCGCCCCUCAGUGCUGCAGCUAACGCAUUAAGCACUCCGCCUGGGGAGUACGGUCGCAAAGACUG